AAACCAAAGCUGGCGACCGGCGCACGGGUGAGUAACACGUAUCCAACCUGCCUCAUACUCGGGGAUAGCCUUUCGAAAGGAAGAUUAAUAUCCGAUAGCAUAUAUUUCCCGCAUGGGUUUUAUAUUAAAGAAAUUCGGUAUGAGAUGGGGAUGCGUUCCAUUAGUUUGUUGGGGGGUAACGGCCCACCAAGACUACGAUGGAUAGGGGUUCUGAGAGGAAGGUCCCCCACAUUGGAACUGAGACACGGUCCAA
rnacentral:rRNA from 1 species